UCUAUGCAAUGAUUUUCGAUCUAAAUAUAAAGAUGAUUAUUGAAACUUUUCAAGAAAAAAAAAUUUUCCCACGUUAUGUAUUUAAGGAAAACCCCGUAUUGAGCAGUGAUAAAGCGUAAUGAUCACUUGUAAUUAUGACUAAUUUUAAGUAGCCUUGAACAUGUGACAAUAAAUGGGAAGUCCUAAAUAAACAUAUAUAAGGAGCAUACGCUGAGUAUGUUAGUAUUCUGAAAAGACAAGUCAACAUAAAAGCAACAAAUAAAAACGGUUACAAGACAAAGAGGAUUCAUUCUUAAAGAACAUCUAGACGUAUAAAAGUUACUCGAAAAAUAAAAUAGUACGAUAAGAUGGCCAAUAAAAUAUUAUUUGUUUUUGGAUUGAUUGUCAUGGGGGCCAUAUUUGAUGAAGGGGAAUGUCAAAGGCGCCACAGGUUGUGUGUCAACAGCGCUGGAACAUGUAGUGACACUCAAUGGAGAAGAGGGAGAAUUGCCCCUGCGACAGUUGGACGCUGCGAUAAGAAAGGUGGUACGUGUGAAUUCCUAACAACAGGAAGAGGAAAUAGAUGUAUGUGUGCCAUAAUGUUUGACGUUUAGAUAAAUCUUAUAUGUAAACAAAUUUACAGAGGAAGGAAAAUAUAUACCAUUGACAAUAUGUUAUUUCGACUCAGCUUCCCCUUAAACCGAUGAAAAUGGUUUACCAUUUGCACCAAUGUGUCCAAAAGAAAAUUACAAGGAAGGAUGAUUCGUUAAAUCAGGGGAAGAGAAAAGAGUAAUUGUGUACACUGUCAAUGAAAGAAACUAGAAUGUAAGCUGUUUUAAGCUGUGAUAGUUUUAACAUAUUUUAUAUUGCAUUCAUUUCCAUUGAUUGGUAACCAUUAAAGCACUACUAUGAAUUGACUGUAAUAAUGACAAUUUUUAAUUACUUAAAGCAAUUAUGUCACCCACUUAUCAUGAUCAUGUAUUUGUAAGUGAUAAAUUAUAAAUAACUCUUUUUCCUAAAAUUUGAAACUCUCAGCAUGAAUUGUUCUAUAUGACUUUCGUGCAUUAAUUGAAUUUAAGUUACCACUUUUAUUAUUUGGUCACAUGAUCAUCAAAGAUCAUGUUUUCAUAACAUCGUUACACACGAUUAUUAAUUAGCUAGAGUGUAUCUUUUAUUCGCAGUCGAUCAAUAGGAACAUUAAAAAACUUUUUAAAGAUAGUUUAUCUUGAGGCCUUCUGUACUAAUGCAUAUAUUGUUUAAUGUUCUCUUAACUUCUAUGGUUUUUUUGUCAAUUUACAUGCUGUGUAUUUUUGUGAUUUUUUAUAAUUAUCUAUAUUGGAGAUAAGUUGUGAUGGGCGUUAUUUAUAUGAUAUGUUUUCAGUUUACUUUUUGUUAACUCUUACAUUUGUCAUUUUACUUUAUAGUAAUACAUUUGGUUUAAUCACAUUUACACUUCUGUUUAUAUUUGUUAUUAUUUAUUGAUUUAUUUGUCAAAAUAAACUGUAAAAACAUU